UGGGGUCCACGUAUCGUCUUCAACCUGCUGGCCGAAGUUCGACGAGAACACGAAACUACAACCAACCCAAAAUCCCCAGAAAUUCGCUACAAUUCCGUUCGAUUUCGUUGCCCCUACUCCACGAAAACCCCUCUAUAUAAUCCCCCGCAGCAACCUCUCUCGGUUUUUCGAAAAAGCACAAACUCUAAACCACCCGAGAGCUCAAACCGAUCUCGCCGGAGUUCCGCCGCUGCAAACUGGAGUCGACGUUCGAGGACCUCUCUGCCUCCCCUCUUCUUUCUAACCUUUCUAGAUCGUCGACCGCACUCUCCUCACCCUUUUUUUCCGUCGCACAGGACCAUGGGAACGAAACGCCGGAGUUUCGCCGGACUUCGCUGACUCCAGCUGGGAAUAGCAGCUGCUUAGGACGACUCCGACAGACUCCGUUGACGCACGCGGCACCACCAAGGAGAGGAGAACCCCAUCAAGGUCUUCGCCAAGCCGGGAAGCACCAGUACACCGUCGCCUUCCGCACCUGACCGCCGCGACCAUCUCCUCCGUCGUCCACCGGUUGUUCGACGAAUUGUGAGAAUGCGUAGGUCGCGAGUCUGCACUCAACCAGCCUGUGGCAUUGAUGGGACUCCAAGAUGUUAUUUCGUUUUCCGUUGUAUUGAGCUAGCCUUUGGCUAUGCAAGUUGUAAUUAUUUGUACUCUGGAUUAUUCGAAUCGUGUAAUAAAGACUUGUGUUUUACAUGAUAA